CCUACGGGGUGCUGCAGUGGGGAAUAUUGGACAAUGGGCGAAAGCCUGAUCCAGCCAUGCCGCGUGUGUGAAGAAGGCCUUCGGGUUGUAAAGCACUUUCAGUGGGGAAGAAAGCCUUGGGGCUAAUACCCUCGAGGAAGGACAUCACCCACAGAAGAAGCACCGGCUAACUCCGUGCCAGCAGCCGCGGUAAUACGGAGGGUGCGAGCGUUAAUCGGAAUUACUGGGCGUAAAGCGCGCGUAGGCGGUCUGAUAAGCCAGUUGUGAAAGCCCCGGGCUCAACCUGGGAACGGCAUCCGGAACUGUCAGGCUAGAGUGCAGGAGAGGAAGGUAGAAUUCCCGGUGUAGCGGUGAAAUGCGUAGAGAUCGGGAGGAAUACCAGUGGCGAAGGCGGCCUUCUGGACUGACACUGACGCUGAGGUGCGAAAGCGUGGGUAGCAAACAGGAUUAGAUACCCCUGUAGUC
rnacentral:rRNA from 1 species